ensembl:lncRNA
GUCACAUCUCUGUGUGUCACAGGGUCUCCUGCGUAAUGGAGGGGCUUGGACUCAUGAUAUAGUUGUGACAGUAGUGAUGUAGGUUUGUGUGAUCAGUAACCCUGCCAAGGCCUGUAUGUAUCUACUGGAUUCUAGUCAUGUAUACAGUUGAAGUUGGAAGUUUACAUACACCUUGCUGCACCCUCGACAACUACUGUGAUUAUUAUUAUUAUUACAUUUGAACAAUUGAACAUCUUGGCCAUGUUCUGUUAUAAUCUCUACCCGGCACAGCCAGAAGAGGACUGGCCACCCCACAUAGCCUGGUUCCUCUCUAGGUUUAUAAUCUCCACCCGGCACAGCCAGAAGAGGACUGGCCACCCCACAUAGCCUGGUUCCUCUCUAGGUUUAUAAUCUCCACCCGGCACAGCCAGAAGAGGACUGGCCACCCCACAUAGCCUGGUUCCUCUCUAGGUUUAUAAUCUCC